rfam:Ruminiclostridium sp. KB18, complete genome.
CGCCGCCUGCUUGAUGCGCGAAUUGUGCACAUAUAACCCUACACUCAUCAAUUAGGGAGCCCCCCUCCGCCUGCGGAUUGCAGACCUCCCGGCCCGGCUUUGACCGUGGUUGGACGAAGGGAGCGUGAACCAUGCGGGAGGGCACCCACCUGUUCCUCAUGUAGGCAGGUUAUUGAGAAGCACAUUACGGUCAAGCGGGUCCUCU